CGCGUAGGUAAUCUAUCCUAAUAUUUGGGAUAACAUCGGGAAACUGGUGCUAAUACCGGAUACCCUUCAUUUCUGCCGGGUUAUGGAGGAAAGGUGGCCUCUUCAUGAAAGCUACCGUAUAAGGAUGAGCCUGCGUACCAUUAGCUAGUAGGUGGGGUAAUGGCCCACCUAGGCAACGAUGGUUAGCGGGUCUGAGAGGAUGAUCCGCCACACUGGAACUGGAACACGGACCAGACUCCUACGGGAGCAGCAGUGAGGAAUAUUGCGCAAUGGGGGAAACCCUGACGCAGCGACGCCGCGUGAGUGAGGAAGGUUUUCGGAUCGUAAAGCUCUGUCAGAAGGGAAGAAGUGUUAUAUGGUUAAUACCCGUAUAAUUU
rnacentral:rRNA from 1 species